rnacentral:lncRNA from 1 species
AACCAAUCUUCAAAAAUUUUGUGUGGACCUGCAGCUAUUUGGGAAAACAUUUUAUGAAUAUCAAACGUAAUUUUUUUCACUAGCGCGGAGUAGAUGCUAUCUUGCUGCAGUUUCAAGCUAACAAUUAUUAUUCAUACAUGCUUCCUUUGCGCAAUUGAUGGAAAAUCAACGAGCUCACAGCCUCUUAAAAUUACAACCUCGCAACCCCCCAAAAAAUUUCAGAGCACGGAGCAAAUUAAAGCAGGGACGGGUAUAAAUGGCGUCACUCCAACCCCUCCUCUUUGGACAUUUGGAACCUUAUGGGAACUAUUAGGGGGCAAUGGAACAACUUGGGUCGACCUGCCAACUCCAUCAACGACCACCGCUCAGCCAACAACCCCGAAAGACAUAGAACUAAUCCUAAGAAAUGCCAAGAUCAUCCCAUAUGUGCUAAACAAAAGACCACCUCAUGAAAUUCAGGUGUCAUUUUAUAAUAUGCCCUGGAAUUUGGGUAGAAUUUUUGAUAAAACCGAUGUGCGCGAGGCUCCACACUACUUAUGGUGGAUCUCUGAGGCGGAAACGUACUACACGCUCCUUUUGAUAAGUCCAGAUUUUCCCGGCGAACAUGAUCAUUGUUUGGCGCAGUAUCAACAUUGGGUCGUGGUAAAUAUACCUGGUUUAUGGGUUGAAGGAGGCGAAACACUCGCAUCAUACGUAGGCUUGGAACCGUAUGGCAUCGGGAAACAUAGAUUAGUUCUCCUUUAUUCAAGCAGCCCAGCAGAGAGAAAAUAG